rnacentral:rRNA from 1 species
UAAUACGAAGGGGGCUAGCGUUGCUCGGAAUGACUGGGCGUAAAGGGCGCGUAGGCGGUUGUGACAGUCAGGCGUGAAAUUCCCGGGCUUAACCUGGGGGCUGCGCUUGAUACGUCAUGGCUUGAGUGUGGAAGAGGGUCGUGGAAUUCCCAGUGUAGAGGUGAAAUUCGUAGAUAUUGGGAAGAACACCGGUGGCGAAGGCGGCGACCUGGUCCAUUACUGACGCUGAGGCGCGAAAGCGUGGGGAGCAAACAGG